GUAGAUAUAUAUAUGAUGCGUAUUUUGGAUAUAUUUGGUUGUGGAUAUAAUUUGGAGUAUGUUGUUGUUGUUGUCUUGGAAAUGGAGGUUUAUUAUUAAUACAGGGAGUUAAUAUUUAUGUUGGUAAGGUCCUAGAAACAGAGGAGAUUCUGUUCGUUUUUUUCUGAAAAUUUGGUCGUUUGGCUUACUGAGGGACUUGUCCCUUGAGCGCCAGUCAUGGCUUGGUUCGGGUCAUGACAAAGUGGUAUCAGAGCCUGGUUUUCCUGUGUAAUAUGGAGCAAGUGUUCUUUAGUAAGAUCACAAUUGUGCAAAUGGAAGCCGGCCCAUUUUCAUAAAGUGUGAUUUUACUAGAGGCCUAUAGGAAGUUGUCCUCAAUCUUUUGGUCUCAUAAUUCUUUCUGUCUGUCCUAUUAUCUUCGAACUCCAUAUAUAUAUGUCGUUGGUGAUUCAAUCGCUCUACUUACUCGAUAGGUGGAAGAUGCCACCUAAGAAAAGACGUGGUGGAACUGUUGGUGCUCCUGAUACUGCUGAAUCCAAUAGGGCAGUUUCUCCGCCACUUGGAGCGCUUCGACAAAGGCCAAGGAGCCAAAGGAUAGCUGAUAGGCGCGCAGGAGAGAUACCCCGCGAGAGAGUUCAAGAGAACCCCGCAGUAAGAGAGGCUCAACCGGAUUUAGCAGUUGAAUUGAGGGGAAUGAAUCAAACUCUUAAUGCGGUGUUACAGGUUCUAACAAAUCAAAAUAGGGGUGAAGCGAGACUUUCUAAUGCGCCAAAUCCUCAGCCUCAUAGGGUUCAUCAAUUGUUUGGGGAUCAAGAGCCGCCAAUUGAAAAGUAUUUGAAGUUGAAUUCGUCCACUUUCAAUGGAGAUUCAUUGGAUGAAGAUCCACAACAAUAUCUAGAGGAUGCAAAGAAAGCUAUUCGAGCUCUCAAGUGCACCAAAGAAUGGGCUGUUGAGUUAGUAUCCUACAACUUGCGUGGUUCAGCAAGGUAUUGGUAUGAGUCUCUUCUUGAGAGCAAAGAAGCAGCUGGACUUCCUCCUCCUUCUUGGGAAGAGUUUAUUGAAGAGUUUCUUACUCGAUUUUAUCCAGCUAACAAGCAAGCAGAAGAUGCAAUUGCCUUUGAAAGAUUAAGGCAAGAGAAUAUGACAGUGACUGAGUAUGCUAAGGAGUUUACUAGACUUUCUAAGAGUGCUCCGUACUUGGUGAAUUCAGAAGAGAUGAAAGUUCGUCGUUUCGUUCGUGGAUUGGCAGAACCUAUGUUCACUACUCUUAUGCCUGAAGUCGGACGCAUGUCUUUUAAGGAUGUCCUAAACUCUGCCUAUGGAAUUGAAGCUGGAAUAGCGGAGAGAAAUGCUUUUAAGGAUGUUGGUAAGAAGCCCAAGAUGAAGGGACAAUUUUCUGGUGGAUCUAGUUUAGGAGGAUUUCAGUCUCAUCAUGUUCAAACUAACCAGCAAGGUUAUUCGGGGUAUCGAGCUCGUCCUCAAGCAUCUUUUGGUGGGGUUGCUUCUUCUGGAUCUGCUCCCAUGAGUGUUUCGAAUCCCAGACCUUUUGUUAAGAGCACCUCUCAAUCUAGUGCACAGGGUUCAAAUCAGACAAGGCCAGCUCAGCCCUAUUGUCUUCAGUGUGGGAGUUACCAUUCCGGUAUAUGUUUCAAGGCUACUGGUGCAUAUUUUGGUUGUGGUCAAUCUGGUCAUCUUAGGAGGGAUUGUCCAAAUCCUAGAGGAGGCUUUGCUCCAGGUAUUGCACAUCCUACAACACCAAUGCCAUCAUCUUCAGCUAUGUCCAUUGGAAAUUCUUCUGGUCCUAGUGGCAGAGGAGCAGGUGGCAGGGGUCAGACUUAUAACAGAGGAGGGAGCCAAAGAGGAAGAGGUCAGGCACGUGUGUAUGCUUUAACACGUCAAGAUGCUCAAGCUUCUAAUGCUGUGGUGGCAGAGUUGUAGAAUUAUUGGACAUCAUUUGGUAGCUCGUUGGCGCGCUCAGAGUUGUUUCUGGUUCUUUGGAAUCAAGUUAUACAGGAGUCAUUUCAGGUUCCAUUCCACCAGCCCCUCAGUAGAUCUUAGUCAUUUUGGUGAGCCCUUCUUCUUUCCCAGGGCUAAGUAAUUAUGUAAUGGAACAUUUGCUCAAAAUUUAGAUUAUGUCAAUGCUCCAUAUGUCACAGGCAGGAUCCUCGUGUGGGUUAUGUUAUUUUGAAUCUUGAACUGUUUAGGUAGUGAUUUUGAUUUGGUUAUGUAAGACUUAUAGUUUUAACUAUAUACUCUAAUUAUCAACUUGAUAUAUAUAGAUGAUGCGUAUUUUGGAUAUAUUUGGUUGUGGAUAUAAUUUGGAGUAUGUUGUUGUUGUUGUCUUGGAAAUGGAGGUUUAUUAUUAAUACAGGGAGUUAAUAUUUAUGUUGGUAAGGUCCUAGAAACAGAGGAGAUUCUGUUCGUUUUUUUCUGAAAAUUUGGUCGUUUGGCUUACUGAGGGACUUGUCCCUUGAGCGCCAGUCAUGGCUUGGUUCGGGUCAUGACAAAUUCUUUGCUGGUUGAGUACAUGGACAAGGAGCUAUGUAUAUACUUGAACUUUGUUGUCUCAGGCAGGAACUUCAAGCUGGAGUGGACCGCUCUUAGAGUGGUAUAAUCCUGCACUGCAUUACUCUUGUGACUGUUUUCUUGUACAAUAUACUUUCUCAUGCACCUUUUUAUAACCAUUGUGAAUAAGGGUUUUGCUUUUCCUACAUUGAAGUAUGUACAAGAUAAUCAUCAUGCCCAUGGUACGGCCUAUUUUACUGUGAUCAUAAUAAAAAAAGCACAAGCAUUAAAUUUAUCUCGUGUCUUUUUUCCAAUUUUCCACAAAAUUCUUAGAUUGUUGCUUUUUUACCCUUUUUUUUUUACCCUACUUGAGAGCAUGGUAAAACUUGGUUAUUUGGAGCAAAUAAUGUUGAAAGCAAGGUUGAGUGGCUGGUAUGGUGAUCUCAAAACAGUAUUCCUCUAAAGGAAGAAAUGAAUUCUGAGGCAUGUCUUUUGAGUAAGUUUUGAAUAGUAUUAUGUGGCUAUUACUGUUAGGGGAUUUUGGCCAUAAUGCUAUAUAUAAACUACAUACAACAUAGAAUGUUUAUUAG